UACAAGCUAGUGGAUUAAGCUCUAUUGAGGCAGAACAUCAGUACUACUAAGCUUUAGCAAAGGGAGUCAUUGAUAUCCUGACUUCCUAUUCUGAUACAAGCUGAAACUGUGACAUUAAUUACUAUUAAUAGCUGGAACAUUUCAGCAUGACCCUCAGGAGCAGAAAAGAUUGAGGAGAUGACAGGAGUCUUGUUGGAGAACAUUUAUGUGAUGUGAACCACUGUGGAACUAUGAAUUCAUGAAGCUGGAGUCCUUGGUUUACAGCUGAUCCCAAACCAUCUUGUUUCUGUGAUGUGCCCAGAGAGGUAGAUGCACAUAGUAGGGACACACAACAUACAUGACUCCUGUUUUCCAUAUCCAUACUGUGUUUUGCUGCCAGUGGCAAGCAUUUGUUAAUGAACAAAAUUUUGUGUUUGUCAUAAAGUCAGGAGUUGCAUCAUAUUCCCUUGUAACAGAACCAUCCUCAAUACUCCUGAAGAGAAAAAUAAAUACAUCAAGGAUCUGUGCACUUCUGGUUUAAAAUUAGCCAUCAUUUAUAUUGACAUUUGCCCAGGAGAAGUAAAUCUGUUCAAAAUAUUUGGGUAAGUGGUGUAGGAGCACCAUUUUGUGCUUGGAAAGACAUCCAAGACCACUUACCUACCUCUCUCACACCUCUCUGAAGAGUUCCACACAAUUUUAAAGGAGAUGGCUCUACUCACUUUGGAGGCAGUGGAGGAAGAAUCAGCUUGUCCAAGGCCAUAAACUUGCCAAUGGAGAACUACAAGAGGGUCAGUCUUCCCCAGUCCCAACACAACAUCUCUCACUGCACUGUUGUUGUCUGGCAUGCAGCUCUUCAUCUCACCUGACUGAAAAACUAUCAAUGUUAAAAGAUGUCUACAGAUGGACUACAACAUCUUCUAGUUCUGGAUACUACACAAGAGUGGACAUGUUGGAUUUAUGCAUGAGAAUACCUAUGGCUGAAGUUAGCUUAAUAUCCUGAACUGAAAUUCUAAUAGAAUAAAAAUAAUCCUUGAAUACAAGUUCUAUGAAUAAGACUUUCCCCUCCAACAAUGUCACCGAAACAACCAUGUUGUCCUGGGUAACUUUCUGGUAGUCAGCUAUGUAAAGCAGGACUGGCAGGUACCUGCUGGAUGGCCACCACUGAACUGGACUUCAAACUAAUCCCAGGGGAUCCAAAGUAGCUCCCUAUCAAGCAGAACAACAUUAAACAACAGCCUGAUAACAGGGCUUGUUUUUAAGUAAUUGCUUCUUUCAGCUUAAGUAAUGAGGUGGCUUUUAACGCUUGUUCAGGUACUUCAAAUCUGAAUGAGACCAUUCCAAAAAUUAGUCAUCAAAUGUUAAUGAGUUCUGGGAUAGGCUAUUAAUUGCCUUCCUUGAAUCUGUUAAUCUUCUGAGGUCAGGCAAAGACUGAUAAACAGAGAUACAAACUGCACUAUGUACAUGGAAGUGUUAACACUAUAUGUCAGUGUGUAACAUGGAGUAACUAUGUGGACUAUUUCCAAUUUAAUUAGUAAGGAAAGGUGUAAUAUAUAUAAUAUUCUUCAACUGAACUCAUUCAAAACAGAAUUUGCUUUAUUUUUUUUCCAGAAUUAAAUGAAGGACAAAACAUAUCUAGAUAUGCAGUAUUUUGAGGGUGGAAAAGAAAUAAAUUCUUCUGAAAAUCUCAUUAAGAAUUCUGCUAGAUUAGAUGCCUAGCUUCCAACAGAAUUCUGGGAUGUAUGAAAGUGUCAUAGGUUCCUAUCUGCAUCUCUGGCCAUCUAAAUCUCUCUCGAAUUCUAACUUCAUUAAUUCUGAUUCACACUUCAAUAAACCUCUAUGUUUGGAAGAAAAAAAACAAA